rnacentral:snRNA from 1 species
AUCGCUUCUCGGCCUUUUGGCUAAGAUCAAGUGUAGUAUCUGUUCUUAUCAGUUUAAAAUGCCUAAUUGUAUCAGGUUGGAGAGUUUCAUUAAAGAAUAAAAAGCAUUCUUCUACUUCUGAGACCAACACUAUAGUAUAUGUUAACUAACCUGAAUGUAAACAAAAUCAU